rnacentral:rRNA from 1 species
GGUGCCUACGGGGCGCAGCAGUGGGGAAUAUUGGGUAAUGGGCGCAAGCCUGACCCAGCAACGCCGCGUGAAGGAAGAAGGCUUUCGGGUUGUAAACUUCUUUUCUCAGGGACGAAGAAAGUGACGGUACCUGAGGAAUAAGCCACGGCUAACUACGUGCCAGCAGCCGCGGUAAUACGUAGGUGGCAAGCGUUAUCCGGAUUUACUGGGUGUAAAGGGCGUGUAGGCGGGGAAGCAAGUCAGAUGUGAAAACCACGGGCUCAACCUGUGGCCUGCAUUUGAAACUGUUUUUCUU